CAGUAUUUUAUCGAAAGCCAUAAAAUUCAGCUACCAAUUGACGUUUUGUUUGAUUUCCCAUUUCAAAUUGAAUGCAUUUACUUCGAUUUUAAUACGUACUCACCCAUGAUCAUAUGGCAUACGUGAACAAUAAUCGUCGGUUGAAAUGGGAAUUCGGUGUACCCACACGUGAAGCGCAUUCAUCAUGGAUGAAAAUCACCGUUUACCAGCAAUGAAAUCACAUACACAAAACCACACUCAACACUUUAUAGACAUUCCAAAAAUGAAAGGAUCGCUUUACAACAACGACCGAACCAAAGAAAUGAAAACAAUUUCACCGUAUAGCCAAGAAAUAGAUGGAAAAAACAAGCGGACACACACAGCGAGCGAGCAAAACUAACAAACAAACCGAGAGAUAUGCAUGAAAAAUGCUCGAAAUUGGCAGUUAUAUGUGUAUCGAAAACAAUGGCAGUUUAUUAAAUACAAUUUUGGUAUAAAAUGCAAAUGAUA